CCAGUCCUGACUGCAUGCACACGC
rnacentral:piRNA from 1 species